rnacentral:lncRNA from 1 species
UUAGCGGCGGACUCCCAUGCUGUCGGUAAUUCCCUGGGGUCAUUAUUGUUAAUCACAUUCCCAUUUUUUCUCCUCUUCUCGAUUUCGGGGGGCUCUCUCAGUAGGAUUUGCUUGCUGUUGUCAAUUCUCUUAGUGAUUUUUGUUUUGUCCCAUGCGACAUCGAUGUCCGAUGCGUGGAACUCUUGUGCCGGGGCUGUGUUUGGUUUUCCUUUCUUUGGAUCGUCCUUGUGCUCCUUUGGCCUUUCUGCUAAUGUGCGUGUUGUGGCUCCUACAUGUUCUUUGUUUUGGCUUGAUUUCUUAUCAUACAAUGGAAUGCUAUAUAUGCCUGCUUUAUUUUUGUCCUCUAAGCAAUCUUUAUUGUUCCUUAGGUAGGAGAAAACUGUAGGGCCUCUUUUAAUAGCUAUUUUUCUUUUGGACAUCUUCACUACUU